CACGUAGGGGGCGAGCGUUGUCCGGAUUCAUUGGGCGUAAAGCGCGCGCAGGCGGCUCGGAAAGUCGGGGGUGAAAACCUGGGGCUCAACCCCGGGCGUGCAUCCGAUACUGCCAGGCUUGAGGCAGGUAGGGGAGAUCGGAAUUCCUGGUGUAGCGGUGAAAUGCGCAGAUAUCAGGAGGAACACCGGUGGCGAAGGCGGAUCUCUGGGCCUGUCCUGACGCUGAGGCGCGAAAGCUAGGGGAGCAAACGGG
rnacentral:rRNA from 1 species